rnacentral:rRNA from 1 species
UACGAAGGGGGCUAGCGUUGCUCGGAAUUACUGGGCGUAAAGCGCACGUAGGCGGUCUUUUAAGUCGGGGGUGAAAUCCUGGAGCUCAACUCCAGAACUGCCUUCGAUACUGGAAGACUUGAGUCCGGGAGAGGUGAGUGGAACUGCGAGUGUAGAGGUGAAAUUCGUAGAUAUUCGCAAGAACACCAGUGGCGAAGGCGGCUCACUGGCCCAUUACUGACGCUGAGGCACGAAAGCGUGGGGAGCAAACAGG